rnacentral:rRNA from 1 species
GACGAACGCUGGCGGUGUGCUUAACACAUGCAAGUCGAACGGAAAGGCCCUGCUUUUGUGGGGUGCUCGAGUGGCGAACGGGUGAGUAACACGUGAGUAACCUGCCCUUGACUUUGGGAUAACUUCAGGAAACUGGGGCUAAUACUGGAUAGGAGCUCCUGCUGCAUGGUGGGGGUUGGAAAGUUUCGGCGGUUGGGGAUGGACUCGCGGCUUAUCAGCUUGUUGGUGGGGUAGUGGCUUACCAAGGCUUUGACGGGUAGCCGGCCUGAGAGGGUGACCGGCCACAUUGGGACUGAGAUACGGCCCAGACUCCUACGGGAGGCAGCAGUGGGGAAUAUUGCACAAUGGGCGGAAGCCUGAUGCAGCAACGCCGCGUGCGGGAUGACGGCCUUCGGGUUGUAAACCGCUUUCGCCUGUGACGAAGCGUGAGUGACGGUAAUGGGUAAAGAAGCACCGGCUAACUACGUG